AUAUUGAAUUUUCAUAAAACGAUCAACUUUCAUUCAUUGAUUUCAAAAAGAUAAUUACAAAGAUAGUGAGUAUAAAAAGUGAUCAAUAUAUCUAAAAUGCAUGAAACCAAAAUAUGGAUCAUUAGGAGAACUAUAACUCUACAAGAUGAAUUCUAACAUCCUAUGAAGGUAGAAUAGGGUGGCUUUAAGAAUUGGGUCC
rnacentral:lncRNA from 1 species